rnacentral:rRNA from 1 species
AUUGAACGCUGGCGGCAGGCCUAACACAUGCAAGUCGGACGGUAGCACAGAGAGCUUGCUCUCGGGUGACGAGUGGCGGACGGGUGAGUAAUGUCUGAGAAACUGCCCGAUGGAGGGGGAUAACUACUGGAAACGGUAGCUAAUACCGCAUAACGUCUUCGGACCAAAGUGGGGGACCUUCGGGCCUCACACCAUCGGAUGUGCCCAGAUGGGAUUAGCUAGUAGGUGGGGUAAUGGCUCACCUAGGCGACGAUCCCUAGCUGGUCUGAGAGGAUGACCAGCCACACUGGAACUGAGACACGGUCCAGACUCCUACGGGAGGCAGCAGUGGGGAAUAUUGCACAAUGGGCGCAAGCCUGAUGCAGCCAUGCCGCGUGUAUGAAGAAGGCCUUCGGGUUGUAAAGUACUUUCAGCGGGGAGGAAGGCGAUGGAGUUAAUAGCUUCAUCGAUUGACGUUACCCGCAGAAGAAGCACCGGCUAACUCCGUGCCAGCAGCCGCCGUAA